GACGAACGCUGGCGGCGUGCUUAACACAUGCAAGUCGAACGGAAAGGCCCUGCUUGCAGGGUACUCGAGUGGCGAACGGGUGAGUAACACGUGGGUGAUCUGCCCUGCACUUCGGGAUAAGCCUGGGAAACUGGGUCUAAUACCGGAUAGGAGCCAUUUUUAGUGUGAUGGUUGGAAAGUUUUUUCGGUCUAGGAUGAGCUCGCGGCCUAUCAGCUUGUUGGUGGGGUAAUGGCCUACCAAGGCGGCGACGGGUGGCCGGACUGAGAGGGUGGACGGCCACCUUGGGACUGAGAUGCGGCCCAGACUCCUACGGGAGGCAGCAGUGGGGAAUAUUGCACAAUGGGCGCAAGCCUGAUGCAGCGACGCCGCGUGGGGGAUGACGGCCUUCGGGUUGUAAACUCCUUUCGCUAGGGACGAAGCUUUUUGUGACGGUACCUAGAUAAGAAGCACCGGCUAACUACGUG
rnacentral:rRNA from 1 species